rfam:Daphnia pulex DAPPTscaffold_631_Cont10380, whole genome shotgun sequence.
GCCUCUAUGGCGUAAUUGGCUAGCGCGUUCGGCUAUUAACCGGAAGGCUGGUGGUUCGAUUCUACCCAGGGGUG